GGUUGAUCCUGCCAGUAGUCAUAUGCUUGUCUCAAAGAUUAAGCCAUGCAUGUCUAAGUAUAAGCUUGUUUAUACGGCGAGACUGCGGAUGGCUCAUUAAAUCAGUUAUAGUUUAUUUGAUGGUCUCUUUUGUCUUUUUUUACCUACUUGGAUAACCGUGGUAAUUCUAGAGCUAAUACAUGCGCAAGGUCCCGAGCGCGGGGGGCGGGGCUUCACGGCCUCGUCCUCGCAUGCGCAGAGGGAUGUAUUUAUUAGGUUAAAAACCAGCAGCCGGCAACGGCUUCAACUCCUGG
rnacentral:rRNA from 1 species